GAUGAACGCUAGCUACAGGCUUAACACAUGCAAGUCGAGGGGAAACGAUAGAGAAAGCUUGCUUUUUCUAGGCGUCGACCGGCGCACGGGUGAGUAACGCGUAUCCAACCUGCCCACCACUUGGGGAUAACCUUGCGAAAGUAAGACUAAUACCCAAUGAUAUCUCUAGAAGACAUCUGAAAGGGAUUAAAGAUUUAUCGGUGAUGGAUGGGGAUGCGUCUGAUUAGCUUGUUGGCGGGGUAACGGCCCACCAAGGCUACGAUCAGUAGGGGUUCUGAGAGGAAGGUCCCCCACAUUGGAACUGAGACACGGUCAAAACUCCUACGGGAGGCAGCAGUGAGGAAUAUUGGUCAAUGGACGAGAGUCUGAACCAGCCAAGUAGCGUGCAGGAUGACGGCCCUAUGGGUUGUAAACUGCUUUUAUAAGGGAAUAAAGUGAGUCUCGUGAGACUUUUUGCAUGUACCUUAUGAAUAAGGACCGGCUAAUUCCGUGCCAGCAGCCGCCGCAG
rnacentral:rRNA from 1 species